GGGGGGGAUGGGGUUGGGGAAGCAACAGAUGGCGCAGAUGGCUUGCCGCCGCACGCAACGCCAGCCAACACGCCCGCCGUUACGCAUACAGCAAGUUAAGUGGAGUUGCUUACUGGACUUUGGAUUCACGGAUCGGAGGAGGAGGAGGAGGAGGAAUAGAUCGACGUCGACGACGUACUCCUUCCUUGCUUCCUCUGGACUAUCUGAGACUGAUGAGAGUUUUUUUAGAGAAAGAGAGCAAGCAGGGGAAGAACAGACAGUCACAGGCAGAUGCAUGUAAAAAGAGUUGAGUAUGCCAUUGCCGCACCUCUUUCUCUCUCUCUAGGUCGCAUGUACUGCUGCUGUACGAUGCGAUGCUUCCUCGGCGGGGGCGACGGGCGAGGGCGGGUCGCCGGCCGGAGCCCGAGGAGACGAGGCAGCAGAUGCUUGUCUUGUUGUUUCUUUUUCGUUUCCAACUACACAACUCGAUUCCGACUCUGAUUGAUUUGACUGAUGAGAGAGAGAGGUAGUACUGUGCUACUAGCAGUGGCAGGAAGUACUAGACAAGAGAGAGAAAUGGCUGGUUCAGGCAGCUGCUGCCUCCCUCUCCUCUCCUCCCGUUGUUUUUGUGCUGUUUUGGUUGGGUGGGGAACAAUAAUGAUGGCGGGAUGGGUGCAGACGAGAGAGAGAGAGAAUGCAGUCCAUCACAGGAACAGAGGAUGAUGAUGAUAACAACAAUGAAGAUGAACCAACGUGGUCGAAGACGCUCCCCGUGGUCGGUGACGUGGCGGGUCGGUGCCAGAGAUCUUGGCGUCGACGUGGCGGGGGCCGGUGCCAAGAUUCGUGGCGACAACCCCUUAAUACAUGUCCAUCGGGUUUCUCUUUUCUCGCUCACGCUUAUUCGUCGCUUCCUCUCACCCUCCACCUCCAACCAUCGUCGCGCCGCCGCAUCGCCCCACACCGUUGCCCUGGCCCACACCCGCGCACAAAGGCGUCGGCGCGUGGCCCCACGUCGGCAAGCCGUCGAGCCCGACGCCUGCGCGACACCAUGCUGACACACCACCGCUCUGCCAUCUUGCCUCCCUCAGCUCCCCACGCCCGCACCAUCGCCGCUGACCUCUGCCUCGACUUCACCGCCGGCUGUCGAGCUCGCAUUGCACGAGGUUUUACAAACCUCCUGUGCAGGGGAGGUGUUAUCGAAAUUUUUUACCUACUACUAUGUGCUUGUUUAUAGAGAGGAGAUUGUGACGGAACCUUCCAAGAUAUUAGACCCACCUACACCUAUCCUCGUCCCAAGGACCUUAGACAGCCAUACAGAUGUACCUAACAGCUUGAUAGGACCUGGUCCUUGUAUCUUCUUCAACAUCUCCCAAGAGCGCAUAUCCCAUUUCACAGACAUUACACAUAUCGGAGUAAAAGAGAAAAGAGUUACAAUAACUUAUUUUACAUAGAUAAGUUAAAGUAAUAAUAUAGAAAGAGUGCUUAUUACAAUAUAAGGGUCUGAGUGCUUCUACUUAUUACAUCACCGGAAGGUAGACACCUUCCAUAAGUUUAUACUUAAUUUUCAUCCUCCUGCUUGGGGACGAUCUUGGAACAGAAGCAGCAAAACUCUGUAGUCUCUUCACCUACAACAACAUGGGUUCGAAAACCCUGAGUACGAAGUGUACUUUCGCAAGUCUUACCCGACUAAAAGAAAAUACUCUUAAAGAUAUGCUGGCAUUUAGGAGUCAAGGUAAGGUUUAUCAAGAACCAAUGACUCAGUUUGCACAAAGCUUACUAAAGUUGGUCCUUAUAAAUUCUUUUUACUUGUCAAGUUAAGUAAUUUACCGAAUCUAGAUUUCGUUCCUACUCUAGAUCAAGCACUUGGCAUACACUACCCAUCUUUUAUCAAACCCUGAGUUUACUUGUCACUAUGGUGUAGUGCAGUGACCACAUCUUCAUAUCCGAGAAGUAACGGCGACCCGAAUCAAUUAAUACCCAGCUGGGGAUCUCCGAAACAGUGUCGAAACAGUGUCAAACUUCAUCCACAGGCUAAUAUAAACAUAUUAAGUUUACCCUCAAUUUUUCAUGAUUUUUGGAAUUUGCAAUAUAUCUCUAAAAUUCUAAUGGUCCUUUCAUAAGCACUUUUAAAUGCUAGAUAAUUUAUUAUUUGCAAAUAAAAUCUCAAAACUAUUUUUGUUAAAUAUUAUCUAAUUUUAUGAAUCUAACAUAAUUGGUCUCAUAGUUUUGCCAUUUUUCUGCAAUUUGUAUUGGAUUUUGCAAGUUAUUAGCAAAAAGAAAAGAAUGAAACGUGAACAGGUCUAGGCUCAACCGCUCAAACCAGCACGAGUCGACCCAUGUGAAAGGGAAAUGUGCCCUUGGGCCAUUUCUAAGUAUUUUGGUGAUUGAGUGCCAACUCAAGUGCUUAAAAUCUGA